rnacentral:rRNA from 1 species
UACGGAGGGUGCAAGCGUUAUCCGGAUUCACUGGGUUUAAAGGGAGCGUAGGAGGGCAGGUAAGUCAGUGGUGAAAUCUUCGAGCUUAACUCGGAAACUGCCGUUGAUACUAUCUGUCUUGAAUACCGUGGAGAUGAGCGGAAUAUGUCAUGUAGCGGUGAAAUGCUUAGAUAUGACAUAGAACACCAAUUGCGAAGGCAGCUCAUUACACGAAUAUUGACUCUGAGGCUCGAAAGCGUGGGGAGCAAACAGG